rnacentral:rRNA from 1 species
AGUGAACGCUGGCGGUAGGCCUAACACAUGCAAGUCGAACGGCAGCACAGUAAGAGCUUGCUCUUACGGGUGGCGAGUGGCGGACGGGUUAGGAAUACAUCUGAAUCUACUUUUUCGUGGGGGAUAACGUAGGGAAACUUACGCUAAUACCGCAUACGACCUACGGGUGAAAGCAGGGGAUCUUCCGCCCUUGCGCGAUUGAAUGAGCCGAUGUCGGAUUAGCUAGUUGGCGGGGUAAAGGCCCACCAAGGCGACGAUCCGUAGCUGGUCUGAGAGGAUGAUCAGCCACACUGGAACUGAGACACGGUCCAGACUCCUACGGGAGGCAGCAGUGGGGAAUAUUGGACAAUGGGCGCAAGCCUGAUCCAGCCAUACCGCGUGGGUGAAGAAGGCCUUCGGGUUGUAAAGCCCUUUUGUUGGGAAAGAAAAGCAGCAGGUUAAUACCCCGCUGUGCUGACGGUACCCAAAGAAUAAGCACCGGCUAACUUCGUG